rnacentral:lncRNA from 1 species
GCCGGGGCGUCCCCCGCGGGAGCCCGCAGCCACCCGGGACGCGCAUCCAGACGUGGCGCUUCGGACCGGGCACGCUGCGCCCGGGGGCUCGGCGGACCCCGCGUAGCCGCCGCUUCGGAGCUUGUGCGGCGCGGGCUGGCCAGCGGGGCGGCCAGGGCCCGGCCCGCCUCCCCAGCGCCCGCCCGGCUUCUCCCCCUGGCGGUGGGAGCCUCGGCGGCCGCUGGCGACACUAGGCGCACUGAAGCCCGAGCCGAGCCGAGCCCGAGCCGCCGCCGCCGCCGCCGCUGCUGCGCACCGCUCCCGGGCUCCCUCCCAGCGCGCCGGCCGGGGUGUGGGGGGCGGCGGGCCGGAGGGGCGAGGGCGGGCCAGGGGGCGCACACGGGGGUUGGCGCGGAAGACAGGACCCUCAGCCUCGAGGGAGCCCCUAGGUGACCAGGCAAAAUGGCAGUUCCUUCCAGCUGGUCCUCAGAUGGGCACAUCUAUUAGCCUCUGCUCUUGUAAGAAGUUAGCUGCAGAACCCACAUGUGAAUCCUUGUAGGACUCUGGAGAAGAUCAAAUGGGAGCUUAGAUGUGGAAGCUCUUUGGAAACCAAGAAACACUCUGAAAAUGAAAAGGGUGGAAGAGUAAACUGUUCCUGUUUCUCCAUCUUGACAGGAAGCAGAAGUUCUCCUUAGCUGAUUUUUCUUCUUGCCUUAUACUGGGUUCUUUAACACCAGAACAAAAAUAAAUAAAUAAAAGAAUCUUCCAGAAAUUCAUGAAGAGACUUCAGGUCAGGAAAGCCUGAACUUUCUCAUCCAACACCCGUUCAAGUCGGAGGAUGCUGAUUAAUUCAUGAUGGAAAGGUAUCAAUUUCACAGCCCAGACCUCUACAUUCUUGAAAUGCUCUUCUCAUGGGAGACAUUAAAUAAGCUUUGAAUUAACUUUCACUCCUAAACCCAUUGUGAUUUGAUUCUUCACCUAUUACACUCUGUGCCAUGACACCCAGGAUGCAGCUGUAGGAACACCACUGGGUCCCUGGAUGUCAUGUAAGCCCUUAAGUAAAAGUGCCAUCAAAUGAUUUCUCAGAAAUUAUAAAGAAACAAAAGGACCAUAAACAAGAUAAGGUGGCAUGAGGAAACAUUACAAGUACCUUUCAGAGCUGACUGGCAAAGAAACUCCUGAGGUGACGGUUCUACCCCAAUAUUACUUCUUCGAAGAGCAACCUAACUGGACUUAUCUUCCUCAGUUCUCUGUGAUGAACUUUUGUAGAGCCAUACGAAAGGAGGUUUUUAGCUCUCACCUGUGGUCUUUCUUCAUCAUGCACCUCCUAGAUUCAAAAGUUCAGCAGGGACAUGUCAAGCUAUAUAAAUAAAAACAAACUAAGAAAAAAUGUAACAUUCCAUACCUUAAAACGCAACCUUAAUAACGUGAAAGACCCUGAAGGACUUGAGACGUGAAGAUUUUCUACCACGGUCUUUGCCUGUAUUAUUUCUGACAGCUGUUCCUUUCUACUCCCUCUUGCACACAUCUUUAGUUACUCCCUGUUCUCCAUCCCUCUGAUAAAAUCUAGAGUUCCCCCCUCAAAUUAGAAAAUUAAAAAAAAUUAAAAAUCUAAAAUUAAAAUUUAAAAAAUUUUUAAAAAUCUAGAGUUUAAAAAAAAUGUUCUAUCUCAGGCUUGUGAACCAUAUUGUUAGUUCACAAUUAAGAAUGAUGUACAUCUAUUGGACAAGUUUUAAUUAAUUCUUUCCCUUGGCUGAUUAGUAAAUUUCUGCAGUGAGUACAAAUGUU